rnacentral:misc_RNA from 1 species
UCUCGGCUUAUCACCGGCAGUCCCCCUAGAGUGCCCAACUGAAUGAUGGCAACUAAGGGCGAGGGUUGCGCUCGUUGCGGGACUUAACCCAACAUCUCACGACACGAGCUGAUGACAGCCAUGCAGCACCUCGACUCCAGUCUCUUGCGAGAAGUCCCUGUUUCCAAGGAUUGUCCGAAGCCGUUCGAGCCCAGGUAAGGUUCUUCGCGUUGCGUCGAAUUAAACCACAUGCUCCACCGCUUGUGCGGGCCCCCGUCAAUUCCUUUGAGUUUUAGCCUUGCGGCCGUACUCCCCAGGCGGAGUGCUUACUGCGUUAGCUUCGGCACCACAGGGGUCAAAGCCCGUGACACCUAGCACUCAUCGUUUACGGCGUGGACUAC